AGCGAACGCUGGCGGCAGGCUUAACACAUGCAAGUCGAGCGGGCAUAGCAAUAUGUCAGCGGCAGACGGGUGGGUAACGCGUGGGAACGUACCUUUUGGUUCGGAACAACUGAGGGAAACUUCAGCUAAUACCGGAUAAGCCCUUACGGGGAAAGAUUUAUCGCCGAAAGAUCGGCCCGCGUCUGAUUAGCUAGUUGGUGAGGUAAUGGCUCACCAAGGCGACGAUCAGUAGCUGGUCUGAGAGGAUGAUCAGCCACAUUGGGACUGAGACACGGCCCAAACUCCUACGGGAGGCAGCAGUGGGGAAUAUUGGACAAUGGGCGCAAGCCUGAUCCAGCCAUGCCGCGUGAGUGAUGAAGGCCCUAGGGUUGUAAAGCUCUUUUGUGCGGGAAGAUAAUGACGGUACUGCAAGAAUAAGCCCCGGCUAACUUCGUGCCAGCCGCCGCCGUAACAC
rnacentral:rRNA from 1 species